rnacentral:lncRNA from 1 species
CAGAGACAAACUACCCUGACCAAGAUCUUUCCUUCUUCUUCCACAACAACAUGUCUGAUUGUCUCUGCAACAGAAGCACUCGUGAACAGCCCGUCUCGCUCAUUCCUUGGAAUCUCCAAGCCUAUAUUCAUCCCACUGAGCAACCUAGCCACUAGCGGCUGGUCUAGGUUACAUGGAAACAUGAUCAAAGGGACACCAAAGCUAAGCCCUUCCACAGCUGAUCCCCAACCACAAUGAGUAACAAACCCACCAACUGAACCAUGGCUCAGUAUCUUGGUCUGAGGUACCCACUCGGUCCAAAUGACUCCACGCUCUUUGACUCUCUCUUUGAACCCAUCAGGUAGUAGCAUAGAAGCUCUAGUCCUCUUCCUUAGCGUCCAAAAGAAAGGUAACCUGCAAAGCUCCAACCCAUGAGCUAAACCUUGAAUCUCUUCGUUACUAAUUGUCACUUCAGUUCCUAAGGCUACAUAAACCACAGACUUUGCUUGAUGUCUGUCUAGCCAUUCUCUGAUGUCUAACCAUGUUCCCUCGUCAUCUGCAUCAUCCAUUGGUGUAGCCGGGAGUAAACCAAUUGGAAUCACAGGCUUUCCUUGGAGUUUACUGAGCAAUUGAAUCCACUCAGGUUCGAGUUCCAUACAUGAUCUAAUCACAAUAACCUCAGAGCCAACGUAAGCCAAACCCAAUCUACAGUUGUCGUUCAAUUCAACUCCAGUUACACCUGCCGUGGGAUACUCCAUGAUCCUCUUAGCUUCAAAGAGACGGUAAACUAUGUUGGUCUCAAACGGGACCCAUGGUGGAGGCACGAUAAGAUCUUCAGCAGUCUUUCGAGGGUCAUGACCUUGAAUCAUGACUGAUGCUGGCCCACCGAUGAUGAUGAUGGAAGCUGCGUUGAACGUGCAGAAGAUGGCUCGUCUCACGCCGAGCUUCUCAGCGAUAGGCGGGACCCAAUGGUGCAAGAUAUCAUACACUAUCCAGUUUGGUUUGGAAGCUUCUAAAAACUCUGUGAAAGCUUCAGAAAGCCCAUCAAAUGCUUUCUUCAGAUAAGCUAUGUGAGUCUCCGGGACAUCAGUGGUGGCCUCAGCGUUCUCUGGGAGAUGGUCGACGGUUUGACUUAACGGCAAAGAAACGAAAUUCACGGAAAGGUCGGAGGAUAUAUUGGGAAGACGUGAAAUGUUACGAGCUGUGGAGAUGAAGGACACAGUAUGGCCUUUCCUUGCUAUGAGCUUUGAGAGUUGCAAGUAAGGAAUCAUGUGACCUAAAGCUAACCAUGGGAACACUGCAACAUGAAGCUUCGGUUUUGGCUCGGCCAUGGUCUCUCUUCGUUGAUAAACAAGCAAGACUCAGACUGAUUCUCUAAAGCUCUUCUUCUUCUUCUGUUUGAACAUCUGGUAGUCACAAUGGCGGCUAAGUAGAU